rnacentral:lncRNA from 1 species
CUUUGGGCUUAUACCAGUCUGGGGGAAGUCUUGGGUCGCUUUCCAUCAAACCCUAGACCCAAUUUCGGGGACUUUAAUCCUUCGUGGUGCGUUUUUGUACGCUACUGUGAUUCUAUACCUGCCCAGAAGUCAAGGCGUGAUUCUGUUGGCAAGCACUUCCGAGGCAGCUUUACUCACUUUAAAACGCAAGGCACGCCCUGAGGCUAGGGGUGGAGUUACGACUUAGAACAGAGAUCUUGAAUUAAGGUGGGGUACCUCAUUGUACCCCUAAGGUGCCUAGAGACCUUGACAUUGAAGACUUCAAAGGGAAGUUCCUGGAGGGCAGGAAUACCUCUACUCUGGCGCGCAGCCGACUCUAGCAUUCAACAAAUUUUUGUGCGGGGCGUGGUGGUGCACGCCUUUACUCUAGCACUUUGGUGGCAGAGGCAGAAUUGGGAGUUCAAGGUCAUCCUUCACUAAGUGAGUGACCUCCAGGGACAGCACCCAUGAGCUGCCAUCCAGAGACACCAUUCCCAUUCCAAGAACAAGCACGGGUAAAUGGUUUAACAUCGCUCCAGUUCUUUUUAAGAGCCCUGGUUUUUUUCAUCUUCCCUAGAUUUCCCUAGGGUUGAAGAACACCCAGAGAAGGGGGAUGGGAGACCGGAGACCCAAAGUGUGACACGGAGGGGAGGACUCGGGAACUACCCACCUAGAGUCAUAAAGGGAAAAAGAAAAGACGGGGAAAGCUGCACUGAGCGCACGAGCGAAAAGCUCCCUACCAAGCCAGGCUUUGUUCCCUGAACCUAAGACUUUACCCGGCGGCGGGCGGGCCGGGAGCGAGCGAGCGA